GACGAACGCUGGCGGCGUGCCUAAUACAUGCAAGUCGUGCGGACCUUGUUGAAAGCUUGCUUUUAAAAGGUUAGCGGCGGACGGGUGAGUAACACGUGGGCAACCUGCCUGUAAGACUGGGAUAACGCCGGGAAACCGGGGCUACUACCAGAUCGUUUUUUCCUCCGCAUGGAGGAAAAAGGAAAGGCGGCUUCGGCUGCCACUUACAGAUGGGCCCGCGGCGCAUUAGCUAGUUGGCGGGGUAAUGGCCCACCAAGGCAACGAUGCGUAGCCGACCUGAGAGGGUGAUCGGCCAAAUUGGGACUGAGACACGGCCCAAACUCCCACGGGAAGCAGCAGUAGGGAAUCUUCCGCAAGGGACGAAAGUCUGACGGAGCAACGCCGGGUGAGUGAAGAAGGCCUUCGGGUCGUAAAACUCUGUUGCCGGGGAAGAACAAGUGCCGUUCGAACAGGGCGGCGCCUUGACGGUACCCGGCCAGAAAGCCACGGCUAACUACGUG
rnacentral:rRNA from 1 species